AUUAUAUAAUUUGCUUAAGCAAAGAAGAAAACUAAAAGAAAGUAAGAAAAAUAAUUUUAACGAAUUUAUGUUAGUAAAGUUUAAUUAAAUCUAAUAAAGGCUAUAGAGAAAAGUACUGUGAAGGAAAAAGUAAGAAAAAAAAAUUAGAAAGAUUAAAGUUCUGUACCUUUUGUAUAAGGGGGAAUUAAAAUAGUUUAGCUAAUAGUAAAAAUCUCGAAAUAAAGACAGUUAAUUUUAUAUAAGAGUUCUUGUAGAAACAAGAUUCAGAAUUUAAAAUUAAAGAUGAAAUAUCAGUCGAGCUUUAUAAUAUCUAGUUCUUUGAAUUUCAAAUUUAAUUUGAACUUUAUAAGUUAAUUAUUUAUAAAGGGCUAAAGUAGGAGGGAUUAGCUUCUUAUUUAAAAAAAAAGAAAAGUUUGGUAUAAAAGUAUUGUUGAGAACUAAGCUUAAAAGUAGCUAUGUUAAUAAAGUGUUUUAACUAAUUAAACAAAAAAUAAUAUUUAGUUUAAAACUUUCAUUUAAAAUCAAAGAAUCAGUCAAACUUAAAAAAACUGAGGUAAAAUAAUUUUAUUAGUAGAUAAAUUAAUGUAAAAAAGAUAAAGUGAAAUGGUAUAUUUUUUUUAAAGAAUAAGAGGAAAAGAUACUAUAAAGGAACUCGGCAAAAAGCUUUUUUGCCUGUUUAUCAAAAACAUGUCUAUUUGAAGAUAUAGAAAGUCUGACCUGCCCACUGAAUAAAAUAAUUGAAGGGCCGCAGUAUUUUAACUGUGCAAAGGUAGCAUAAUAGUUAGGUUUUUAAUUGAAAUCUUGUAUGAAUGGUUCGACAAAAAAAGCGCUGUCUCUAUAGUAAUAUUUGAAUUUAACUUUUAAGUGAAAAGGCUUAAAUGUAUUAAGAAGACGAUAAGACCCUAUAAAGCUUUAUAUAGAUAUUUGAUUAAAAGUGAAUUAACGUAUAAAAUUUUAAUGAAAUAAUAUUAUUAUAUUGGGGCGAUAAAGGUAUAAUUAUUAUUAACUGCCUGAAAAUAAAACAUAAAUAAGUGAAAAUAAAAUAAUAGAUCCUUAGAUAAAGAUUUAAGUUUAAGUUACUUUAGGGAUAACAGCGUUAUUUUUUUUGAGAGUACUUAUCGAAAAAAAAGUUUGCGACCUCGAUGUUGAAUUAAGAUUUCUUUUUAGUUGCAGCAGUUAAAAAAGAAGGUCUGUUCGACCUUUAAAUUUCUUACAUGAUUUGAGUUCAAACCGGCGUGAGCCAGGUUGGUUUCUAUCUUUUAAUGAGCAAAAUCUUACUUUAGUACGAAAGGAUUAAGUAAGUUAAAUUAUUUUAUAAACUGACUAUUACUUUGGCAGAUAAUAUGCAUUAGACUUAGGAUCUAAUUAAAUAGGCCGGUCCU
rnacentral:rRNA from 1 species